rnacentral:miRNA from 1 species
AUUGUACUCCCUCCGUUCAGAAAUAACUGUCGGCAAUUUUAUAUUAGCUUAGUAUAAAGUUUGUACUAAGUGCCGACAGUUAUUUCCGAUCAGAGGGAGUAAUGA